UACGGAGGGGGCGAGCGUUAUUCGGAAUUAUUGGGCGUAAAGGGCGCGUAGGCGGCCCGGUAAGUCAAAGGUGAAAUCCCUCGGCUCAACUGAGGAACUGCCUUUGAAACUGUCGGGCUUGAGGCCGGGAGAGGGUAGUGGAAUUCCCAGUGUAGCGGUGAAAUGCGUAGAUAUCUGGAGGAACACCGGUGGCGAAGGCGGCAUCCUGGACCGGUAUUGACGCUGAGGCGCGAAAGCUAGGGGAGCAAACGGG
rnacentral:rRNA from 1 species